UUUUUUUUUUAGUUGUAGUUGGACACAACACCUUUUUUAAAUAUAUUUAUUUUUAUGUGGUGCUGAGGAUCGACCCGGUGCUCACACGUGCUGAGUGAGAGCUCUACUGCUGAGCCACAAUCUCAGCCCCCCAUUGUUGGUUUUUACUUAAAACAUUAACAUUAAUCCAGAAGUCACAAUCACACAAUAAUGCACACAUGAGGUGGGCCUUGGUAGUUUCUGGAAUGACCUUCCUUCCUCCCUCUCUUCCUUUCCCCAAAUAAGACCUUGUUUUAGAUGGUGUUUUCCCGAGCAACAGGUCCAACAGGAAGAACAGGUACCAAUGAAUGACAGGUUUGCUGUGAGGCUUGGCUCUUGCAGUUAGGAACUUCAGUCUGCGUCUAUAGCUGCAGUUGUGGAGCUGGGGAAGGUCGUGCCUGUCCAGCAUCCCAGCUCAGGGUUAGCGAUGACAUGGCAGAACUGUGAUCCCUGGCUCAGGUGGCCUUUGUCAGGUUGUCACAGCCAAGUUUGCAGUAUACAUGGAAGGAGGCUGCUAAGCAUGGUCCAUGCCCAGGGGCGGAAGCUCUUCAACUGCCUGUCAUCCUGGGCCAGUGUCAGGCAGUGGGUUCCUUAGAAACAACACAGAUGACACAAUACCAAAAAAGAUACAGUAGAUGUCACCAGAAUUAGAAACUUGGUGCUUGAGAGGUACAAUCAAGAGGGUGAAAAGACCAGGGCUGGCGUCACUGGGUGGAGAGCCUACCAGGCAUAGCACACUCAAGGCCCUGGGCUUGAUCCCCAGCUGUGGAUAAAGAAAAUGAAGACAGCCUGCAGGAUGGAAGAAAUUGUGAAUCAUAAUCUGAAAUAUGUAAAAAUUCUUAAAAACCUCCUAAACUCAGUGAAAAGACAAAUCAGUUAAAAAUAGGCUAAAGAUGUAAAUAAAUAUUUCUUCAAAGAAGAUACGCAGGUGACCAGUGAGCAUAUGAAAAGAUGCUCAACAUUGUCACUCAUCAGGGAAAUAAAUGCCCAUCAAAACCAGGGUGAAGGCGGGCAUGGUGCAAGCCUGUCCUCCCAGUCACUUGAAAGGCCGAGGCAGGAAGAUGCAUGUCCCAGGCCAAGAUAAGCAACCUAUUGAGGCCCUAUCUCAAAAAUAAACUUUUAAAAAGGGCUGGAGGUGUUGCUCAGUGGUAAAUCCCCUCUGGGUUCCAUCCCCAAUACAAAAAAAAAA
rnacentral:lncRNA from 1 species